UUUGAUAAAAAUUGGUCGGUAAACAAACGUACAGUUCACCUGACGAUAAGCGUUUACCUUAGUUUAUAGAUAUCUGCAACACCAGAAGAAUCGUAAGCGCGUUGCCGACCCUAACCCCGAUUCCCACACGAGC